GACAGUGCCCUAGAGCUGUGGCUAAACUCCCAGUGCCUUCCUGGAACCCCAGGAGGAGAAGGGGCCACAAGAGACCAGGGAUAGGGAGGGCUUGGGCUGGGCUGGGACGGCCCCCCAGGAGUGGCUCAGCCUGGACUGGGCAGGGCAUGGAGAAAGGGAGAGGAACUCGGGAAAGGGGCUGUGGUCGGCUAAAUUAGGCCCCGCGGGGACAGUCGUGUCCCAAUCCUGGACCUGUCUAUGUGUCAUGUGUGGCCACAGGGACUUUGCAGAUGUCAUGUCAAUUAGGAGCCUGAGGUGGGAAAUGCUCCUGGGUUAUCCAGGCACCCGUCCCAGUCACCGUCCCUACCAGAAGUCCCUGUCCUGGGCAUCUGCUCUGAGGUCUUCCUCCAGUGGAGGAAUUGGCACGUCUAUGGCACCACUCUGGAAUCUCAUGAUUGACUUUGACCUCCCCAGCCCCACUGACCAUCCGUGGAUAACUGGACAUUAGGUGAUGGUGGAACUACCCCUCAAAAACAAUCCAGACUUCAUUCCCACAAGGCUAAAAGAAUUUUGUUCAUCUUGCAGGUU
rnacentral:lncRNA from 1 species